AACGAACGCUGGCGGCAUGCCUAACACAUGCAAGUCGAACGAGACCUUCGGGUCUAGUGGCGCACGGGUGCGUAACGCGUGGGAACCUGCCCUUAGGUUCGGAAUAACUCCCCGAAAGGGGUGCUAAUACCGGAUAAUGUCUUCGGACCAAAGAUUUAUCGCCUUUGGAUGGGCCCGCGUUGGAUUAGCUAGUUGGUAGGGUAAAAGCCUACCAAGGCGACGAUCCAUAGCUGGUCUGAGAGGAUGAUCAGCCACACUGGGACUGAGACACGGCCCAGACUCCUACGGGAGGCAGCAGUGGGGAAUAUUGGACAAUGGGCGAAAGCCUGAUCAAGCAAUGCCGCGUGAGUGAUGAAGGCGUUAGGGUUGUAAAGCUCUUUUACCCGGGAUGAGAAUGACAGUACCGGGAGAAGAAGCUCCGGCUAACUCCGUG
rnacentral:rRNA from 1 species